rnacentral:rRNA from 1 species
GAUGAACGCUGGCGGCGUGCCUAAUACAUGCAAGUCGAGCGAACAGACGAGGAGCUUGCUCCUCUGACGUUAGCGGCGGACGGGUGAGUAACACGUGGAUAACCUACCUAUAAGACUGGGAUAACUUCGGGAAACCGGAGCUAAUACCGGAUAAUAUAUUGAACCGCAUGGUUCAAUAGUGAAAGACGGUUUUGCUGUCACUUCUAGAUGGAUCCGCGCCGCAUUAGCUAGUUGGUAAGGUAACGGCUUACCAAGGCAACGAUGCGUAGCCGACCUGAGAGGCUGAUCGGCCACACUGGAACUGAGACACGGUCCAGACUCCUACGGGAGGCAGCAGUAGGGAAUCUUCCGCAAUGGGCGAAAGCCUGACGGAGCAACGCCGCGUGAGUGAUGAAGGUCUUCGGAUCGUAAAACUCUGUUAUUAGGGAAGAACAAAUGUGUAAGUAACUAUGCACGUCUUGACGGUACCUAAUCAGAAAGCCACGGCUAACUACGUG